UACGGAGGGAGCUAGCGUUGUUCGGAAUUACUGGGCGUAAAGCGCGCGUAGGCGGUUACUUAAGUUGGAUGUGAAAGCCCUCGGCUUAACUGAGGAAGUGCAUCCAAAACUGAGUAGCUAGAGUACGAAAGAGGGUCGCGGAAUUCCCGGUGUAGAGGUGAAAUUCGUAGAUAUCGGGAGGAACACCGGUGGCGAAGGCGGCGACCUGGGUCGAGACUGACGCUGAGGCGCGAAAGCGUGGGGAGCAAACAGG
rnacentral:rRNA from 1 species